rnacentral:rRNA from 1 species
CGGAUCCGCGGCCGCUGCAGAGUUUGAUCCUGGCUCAGAAUGAACGCUGGCGGCGUGCCUAACACAUGCAAGUCGAGCGAGGCCGCGGGGCAACCCGAGGUCGAGCGGCGAACGGGUGAGUAACGCGUGGGUAACCUACCCAGGAGAGGGGGAUAGCCCCGCGAAAGUGGGGGUAAUACCGCGUACGCUCUCCGGUGCACAAGCGCCGGAGAGGAAAGGUGGGGAUCCCUUCGGGGACCUGCCGCUCCUGGAUGGGCCCGCGUCCGAUUAGCUAGUUGGUGGGGUAACGGCCUACCAAGGCGACGAUCGGUAGCCGGCCUGAGAGGGUGACCGGCCACAUUGGGACUGAGACACGGCCCAGACUCCUACGGGAGGCAGCAGUGGGGAAUAUUGGGCAAUGGGCGAAAGCUGACCCAGCGACGCGCGUGAGGGAUGAAGGCCUUCGGGUUGUAAACUCUGUCAGGGGGGACGAACGCGUGCCGGUGACAGCCGGGGGUCUGCCGGUACCUCAAAGGGAGGCCCCGCAUAACUCCGUCCACCAGCCCGCGGUAA